rnacentral:RNase_P_RNA from 5 species
GAAGCUGACCAGACAGUCGCCGCUUCGUCGUCGUCCUUUCGGGGAGACGGGCGGAGGGGAGGAAAGUCCGGGCUCCAUAGGGCAGGGUGCCAGGUAACGCCUGGGGGGGAAACCCACGACCAGUGCAACAGAGAGCAAACCGCCGAUGGCCCACGUAAGUGGGAUCAGGUAAGGGUGAAAGGGUGCGGUAAGAGCGCACCGCGCGGCUGGUAACAGUCCGUGGCACGGUAAACUCCACUCGGAGCAAGGCCAAAUAGGGGUUCAUAAGGUACGGCCCGUACUGAACCCGGGUAGGCUGCUUGAGCCAGUGAGCGAUUGCUGGCCUAGAUGAAUGACUGUCCACGACAGAACCCGGCUUAUCGGUCAGUUUCACUU